rnacentral:rRNA from 1 species
GACGAACGCUGGCGGCGUGCUUAACACAUGCAAGUCGAACGGUGAAGCGCCUUCCUUUUUGGUGGGUGUGGAUGAGUGGCGAACGGGUGAGUAACACGUGAGUAACCUGCCCCCUUCUUCUGGAUAACCGCAUGAAAGUGUGGCUAAUACGGGAUAUUCUGGGUCUGUCGCAUGAUGGGUCUGGGAAAGAUAUUGUUUCGGUGGGGGAUGGGCUCGCGGCCUAUCAGCUUGUUGGUGGGGUGAUGGCCUACCAAGGCGGUGACGGGUAGCCGGCCUGAGAGGGUGGACGGUCACACUGGGACUGAGACACGGCCCAGACUCCGACGGGAGGCAGCAGUGGGGAAUAGUGCACAAUGGGAGCAAGCCUGAUGCAGCGACGCCGCGUGAGGGAUGGAGGCCUUCGGGUUGUGAACCUCUUUCGCCAGUGAAGCAGGCCUGCCUCGUCUGUGGGUGGGUUGACGGUAGCUGGAUAAGAAGCGCCGGCUAACUACGUG